rnacentral:rRNA from 1 species
UUCCCAUUCCGAACACGGAAGUUAAGCUCGCUUCUGCCGAAAAUACUUGUCUGGAGACGGACCGGGAAGAUAGGUAGUGCCUACA